UUCCUGGUGGUUCAGUUGGUAAAGAAUCUGCCUGCAAUGCAGAAGACCCAGGUUCGAUUCCUGGGUAGGGAA
rnacentral:tRNA from 1 species